GGGGUUGUACUUGGAAUCGAGAGGGAGACUACCGGUUUUUUCAGUGCCAUGUCGGGGUCGCGCUGUCCCCCGAGCGUUGACGAGCAAUCGUCACGAAGAUCCGUCCAGCGCAAAACUAAGUGCUAAAACUAAUUUAGCUGCGAUCAGAAACGCAAUGCUUGGUGAACAACUGGCAUCCGUGCCAGUAGCACCAGCUUUCGCUUUUGCCGCAUAACCGUCUGACCGAAACUCGGACGUCGCUUCGCCUCAGACCUCUCCUAUGAGGGUCGAAGUGUCACCUAGGAGGGUAAGGCUUCCGGUCUGUUCGCCCGGGAUCACGAAAACCUUGAACUAAGCGAGUCGGGCUUUUUGUUUGUCUCUUAUCCGACUCGUCGAAAAUUCAGGACAACCUAUCAUGGUAGAUCUGUAAGACCGACUCCUUCCACGCGGGUUCGACUCCCGCCAACUCCACCA
rnacentral:tmRNA from 1 species